rnacentral:piRNA from 1 species
AGGAGACCGCCUCUUUGACUUUUGCAUGAGU